UAGUAGUUAGUUUAUUAAAAAUUUUUUAUUUGGAAUAAAAAGAUUCUAUACUGG
rnacentral:tRNA from 1 species